rnacentral:rRNA from 1 species
UACGGAGGAUGCGAGCGUUAUCCGGAUUUAUUGGGUUUAAAGGGAGCGCAGACGGGUCGUUAAGUCAGUUGUGAAAGUUUGGGGCUCAACCUUAAAAUUGCAGUUGAUACUGGCGUCCUUGAGUGCGGUUGAGGUGUGCGGAAUUCGUGGUGUAGCGGUGAAAUGCUUAGAUAUCACGAAGAACUCCGAUUGCGAAGGCAGCACACUAAGCCGUAACUGACGUUCAUGCUCGAAAGUGUGGGUAUCAAACAGG